rnacentral:rRNA from 1 species
GACGAACGCUGGCGGCGUGCUUAACACAUGCAAGUCGAACGGAAAGGCCCCUUUGGGGGUACUCGAGUGGCGAACGGGUGAGUAACACGUGAGUAACCUGCCCUUGACUUCGGGAUAACUUCAGGAAACUGGGGCUAAUACCGGAUAGGAAUCCUUGCUGCAUGGUGGGGGUUGGAAAGCUUCGUCGGUUUUGGAUGGACUCACGGCUUAUCAGCUUGGUGGUGGGGUAGUGGCUUACCAAGGCUUUGACGGGUAGCCGGCCUGAGAGGGCGACCGGCCACAUUGGGACUGAGAUACGGCCCAGACUCCUACGGGAGGCAGCAGUGGGGAAUAUUGCACAAUGGGCGGAAGCCUGAUGCAGCAACGCCGCGUGCGGGAUGACGGCCUUCGGGUUGUAAACCGCUUUCAGCAGGGGCGAAGCUUGUGGUGACGGUACCUGCAGAAGAAGCACCGGCUAACUACGUG